AGAGUUUGAUUAUGGCUCAGGAUGAACGCUGGCGGCGUGCUUAACACAUGCAAGUCGAACGGAAAGGCCACAGCUUGCUGUGGUACUCGAGUGGCGAACGGGUGAGUAACACGUGGGUGAUCUGCCCUGUACUUCGGGAUAAGCUUGGGAAACUGGGUCUAAUACCGGAUAUGACCACUUUUUGGAUGGGGUGGUGGAAAGCUUUUGCGGUAUGGGAUGAGCUCGCGGCCUAUCAGCUUGUUGGUGGGGUAAUGGCCUACCAAGGCGUCGACGGGUAGCCGGCCUGAGAGGGUGUACGGCCACAUUGGGACUGAGAUACGGCCCAGACUCCUACGGGAGGCAGCAGUGGGGAAUAUUGCACAAUGGGCGCAAGCCUGAUGCAGCGACGCCGCGUGGGGGAUGACGGCCUUCGGGUUGUAAACUCCUUUCGUCAGGGACGAAGCGUAAGUGACGGUACCUGGAUAAGAAGCACCGGCUAACUACGUGCCAGCAGCCGCGGUAAUACGUAGGGUGCGAGCGUUGUCCGGAAUUACUGGGCGUAAAGAGCUCGUAGGUGGUUUGUCGCGUCGUUUGUGUAAGUCCACGGCUUAACUGUGGGAUGGCAGGCGAUACGGGCAUAACUUGAGUGCUGUAGGGGAGACUGGAAUUCCUGGUGUAGCGGUGAAAUGCGCAGAUAUCAGGAGGAACACCGAUGGCGAAGGCAGGUCUCUGGGCAGUAACUGACGCUGAGGAGCGAAAGCAUGGGUAGCGAACAGGAUUAGAUACCCUGGUAGUCCAUGCCGUAAACGGUGGGCGCUAGGUGUGAGUCCCUUCCACGGGGUUCGUGCCGUAGCUAACGCAUUAAGCGCCCCGCCUGGGGAGUACGGCCGCAAGGCUAAAACUCAAAGGAAUUGACGGGGGCCCGCACAAGCGGCGGAGCAUGUGGAUUAAUUCGAUGCAACGCGAAGAACCUUACCUGGGCUUGACAUACACCAGAUCGGCGCAGAGAUGCGUUUUCCCUUGUGGUUGGUGUACAGGUGGUGCAUGGUUGUCGUCAGCUCGUGUCGUGAGAUGUUGGGUUAANUCCCGCAACGAGCGCAACCCU
rnacentral:rRNA from 1 species